GACUCUUAGAGAUGGAUCACUCGGCUCCUGCAUUGGUGAAGAGUGCAGCUAGCUGUGAGAAUUAAUGUGAAUUGCAGGACACUGAUCCUCAACACUUGGAACGCACUUGCGACACAGGGUUCCUCCAGGGUCUAUGCCUGCCUGAGCAUAG
ensembl:rRNA 5_8S_rRNA 5.8S ribosomal RNA